rnacentral:rRNA from 1 species
UGGCGAACGGGUGAGUAACACGUGGGAAACCUACCUCUUAGCAGGGGAUAACAUUUGGAAACAGAUGCUAAUACCGUAUAACAAUAGCAACCGCAUGGUUGCUACUUAAAAGAUGGUUCUGCUAUCACUAAGAGAUGGUCCCGCGGUGCAUUAGUUAGUUGGUGAGGUAAUGGCUCACCAAGACGAUGAUGCAUAGCCGAGUUGAGAGACUGAUCGGCCACAAUGGGACUGAGACACGGCCCAUACUCCUACGGGAGGCAGCAGUAGGGAAUCUUCCACAAUGGGCGAAAGCCUGAUGGAGCAACGCCGCGUGUGUGAUGAAGGGUUUCGGCUCGUAAAACACUGUUGUAAGAGAAGAAUGACAUUGAGAGUAACUGUUCAAUGUGUGACGGUAUCUUACCAGAAAGGAACGGCUAAAUACGUGCCAGCAGCCGCGGUAAUACGUAUGUUCCAAGCGUUAUCCGGAUUUAUUGGGCGUAAAGCGAGCGCAGACGGUUAUUUAAGUCUGAAGUGAAAGCCCUCAGCUCAACUGAGGAAUUGCUUUGGAAACUGGAUGACUUGAGUGCAGUAGAGGAAAGUGGAACUCCAUGUGUAGCGGUGAAAUGCGUAGAUAUAUGGAAGAACACCAG